CCCAUUCGUGCUUGUCCACAGGCGAAGAUGUCGGCCUGCUCAAGCAUCAUAGCGGCCUUCUGGGGGCCGUGCAUUUUAUUCCAGAUGGAGGAGCCGGGAAAAUCGUGCGCAGCAUGGACGCGCACUUUCUGGCCAUUUGGGAAGGCAAUCUGAAAGCGCGACUGCCAGUCCUCAACCGGGACCAUGGGUUGCGCGUUGGCCUUGAUGAGAUACGGCCCGUCAUUCCAUGCGUCAUGGUUGCCGAGCAGGUGACACAGCCAUUUGAUGCCGGAAUCCCGCAUUAGGUAUUUUGCGAGCUUCCAAGCCUGCUUCUUUGACAUCUCCUGAUCGGCAUAGAGACGAACGAGGCGCCCGACCCAAUUGUCCGUUAAGUCGCCAAUGUUCACGGCGU
rnacentral:misc_RNA from 1 species